rnacentral:lncRNA from 1 species
AUUGAAUGUUGGGUAGAGAAUAUAGAUACUGUAUCUAUAAUCUGAAAGUCUCAGCAAUGACAUGAUGUACAUUUUACACUGAAAAUGGCGUGCUAUGCUUAGGAAUCAUCAAUUUCCCAUCAAACGCACACAUAUAAGACAUUUUCCAUACGAAAUGAAGCAUGGAAUCGAAACAUAAAUACAGAUAACUAGAAAAGAGAGAUCGAAUCGUACUCAGCAGGGGCGAAAGAGGAACGGAAGGGGUUGAUAGGGUUGUUGGAGAUGAGAGGGGCGGCGAAACGCCUUCCUUCGCGUCUCAAAGCAGCCAUAGCCAUUGUUGUACUCACAGUUCGAUUUGAUCCGAUUGAUCUCUGCUGAUUUUGUAAUUUUUCUUCUUCACAGAGCCAGAAAAGCAAGCUUAUUUAGGGUUUUCAAAUUGUUCAGUACUGACGAGGUAGAUCAUAGAUGCCAAAGGAAAUGGCGUCGCCCGUUCAUACGACGUCGUUUCGUUGUCCGACAUAUACGAUCUAAAAAUGGAAAAAGUUCAUGAAUGGUCACCCAACUUCUAUAUUUGUUU